CUCUUGCGAUCACUUCUCAUGGGGGUCCCGGCGUCGGGGCGCGGAGCCUGUAAUCCAGCGGGGAGGCGAGCGCGGGCAGCCCGAGUCCGGGGCUCCCGCCGGCUGCUGAUGUAUAAGAAGGAGAGAGGAGGCGCCUCGAGCCGCCCGGCCGGAAAGCUGCGCGCAGCAAGCCCUGAUUGGAUUCAGCCGGCCCUAAACAAACACGGCGCGCCGGACAGUGCCGGCUCCCCUGGGGCAAGGGCGUGCGGCUCCCUGCCGGCCCGGCCGCGGCCCCAUGCGGAGCGGGGCCGGCUUCGCAAGCUGGACACCCGCCCGCGGACCAGGGAUCAACCCCCCGCCCCCGACACCCCUUCCCCGAGGAUCGUUCGUCUGUCUUGUCCACCAGCCCCCCCGCCCACCGCCCACCGCGCCCACGUGCCUCUCUCCAGAGCCACCUCCCGCUCGGAGUUGCCCCCGGGCCCUUCUUCCGCGCCUCUGCCCGGGCGGGACCCGAGCGCGCGGCUUCCCCCGCACCCCCAGCCCCUGCUCCCAGGUGCCUCCCCACCUGGACUGAAAGCAAGUGCGCUGGGAAGCAAAGCGCUGUGUCCCCGGGAAUCUUAACAACUGGGACAUACACGCACACACCUAUAGAUAUACACAUCGAUGUAUAGCUAUAACUAGAUAUAUGCACACAAAAUCAUACAUAUAUAAGCUGUAGAUAUAUAAACGUGUUCUAUCUAGCUAUCCACUUCUAUAUAUGUAUGUAUGUACCUAUCUCUCUCUCUCCACUUCUAUAUAUGUAUGUAUGCAAUUUAUCUUGUUUCUAUGAUCUAUCUAUCUAUCUAUCUAUCUAUCUUUCGAGCCCGGGCGGGGCAGAGCCCUGUGAGAAGCUGGGAGAGCACUGAGAUAGAUAGAUAGAUAGAUAGCUUUUAACUAACCCACCAGUCCAGUCUGUCAAAUGGGGAAGCAAGAUCCGAGCUUUUUUGCUAUACCUCCCAAAAGUUGCGGCACCGCCCCCCACCCCUGUUUCCUCGCCCCCACCCCCGCACACCCCGGGGUGGGGAGCCGCAGCCUCCCGGCCCCAGGCGCCCCGCGCUCGGCGGCUCUGCACGGCUAGCCCUUCUCAAGCCUCACUUCCAGUCGGCCCGUGCAGCUCUUUUGCUGGCCUGUUUGGCUUCCACCGGCGUGAAACAAGGAGGCCAGCAACCUCCGAAAAGCCCCUCUUUGUACCUUUAAAAUCCGAGCCAGGCUCCUUCUCGCCCUGCAGAAGGCUCCAGGUGAAGCCCGAGCUCAUCAGUCUCCGGGACUCUCCGCUUCCGUCUUUUUCCCUUUCUGAUCCCCCCUCCACCUCCUGCCCCCCUUAUCUCCGCUGUGUACAAGCCGACCCGGCACUUAGCAGGAAAGUGACUGGAAAUUAAAAUAACUCCGUUCCCCAGAGGUUAUCAGCUGGAUAUCUGUCAUCAUCAGCUUGUACAGAGGGAGACCCGGCUGUAACAGGGGCUGGCUGAAGCCUGUCUUGCUCCCUGCAGCCGCCAGAAAUUAUUCCUUCUGACAGACACAAUUAUAAAAAAACACAGCCCCCCAAACCCGCUGGCCAGGGAGCGGUGGCCCCGGGGCGGGCUGCGGCUGCUGCCCAGGUAAGGCGCGCGGGCCGGGCAGGCUGCGGGCCGGGGGCGGGAGGGGGCUGCUUUGCGCCGCGCCCGCGGUGCGUUUGGUGGCAUUCGCUGACCGGGGAGCUCAAGGGGGGGUUGCGGAGGAGUGGUUUCUCCAGCGAGCGGGAAGCGAUUUUACCCCACGCUCCGCUGACCCAGGGUGCCCUCGUGCCGGAGUCCGGCCGGCAGAAGCGGCGACCGAGGAAGCAGUCCCCCAACAGUGUGUGGAGGGCAGCCCUCCGCGCCUGCCUCGGCUCUGCGCGGCUCAUCCCGGGGGCUCGGCUCUGGCUCUGGCGGGAGGGUCGCAAGAAGAGCUGACCCUCGCGAGGGACUUGGGGCCAGGCCGGAGCGGGGCAGGAUUUCUGCUAACGCGCGUGUUGAGCUUCCCAGUGAAGCCGUGAUGGCUCCUCAGCGCCCGAUGCACUGACAGUCUGACCAUGAGCAGUGCUCACUUGCCUGUUCCCCUCGACUCUCUCCCCUCCCCAUCCCGUGCCUUUCUGCACUGGCUUUGGGCCGAUGCACUGUUGACGGCUCAGCCGAGGCACUCGAUCGCCCCUCGGCUCCCGAAACCAGCGGCCCCGGCCCGACGGCCCCGUGCGCCGCUCCCUACACAUCCUGCUAGCAGGGCCACCCAGAGAUCAGAAGCGGUUGCAGCUUGAAACCGUCUGUGAUGCAGCUAAGAGCGGACUUCUCUGACCCGCACAACGAUAGCUCCCGGUGAAUUUUCGAACCUAGCCGCAAUAUCAGGUCAUGCUUCAGAGGAGAGGAACAGAUCCUAAAAUGGGAGAAAGAACCUGUAUUUUCUACAUGUGAUGGGCUUAUAUCACUGAGCAAGGCUAUCAGAUCUGGAAGCUCACAGAAGUAGUUUGCACAUCAGGGAACUGUCACACUGAAGAUGAAGUGGGUGAGCACAUUCCAAAGAGUUGGCACAUCAGAAAUCUGGAUGUCAACCUGUACACCAUGUCAACCUAUACAGUGUGAAAAGGAACUACUUGGCAGUGACUCCAGGUGACAGCAACAUAUGAGCAGUACUUCAGCAUCCUUCAGGAAUGGAAUGCUCAAGAUAGAUUCUCCUGCCUGUAACACUUAUUUCCACUUACUAUCAAGGAAAAGGCUCGUACCAUGGUUGGACCUCCCGUGUGUGCAUCCCAUGUGUUAUUGAGACGUAAUUAGCCAUGUUAGUCUGAAGUCAGGCAUAAGGAAGAGUACAGUUGUACCAUACAGACUAAUUGUCAUUAGCAGUCACUAACUAAUAGCUAAUUAGUUAGUCCAUAAGGUCCAACUUUACCGUCCUUUCUCCAUGUGUUAUUUACAGAGCUGGUUAAAAAAUUAUCUGAGUUUCGCAAAAAAACUUUGAAAUUUCAAAGUUAUUUCCAUUUCUCAGAGUUUACAAUGGAAUUUGUUUAAUUCAAUAUAUGGCCAAAAGAGUAUCGCGCAUCUCAGCAGAAAGUUCCUGAGGCUGACGUGCACAAGACCCUCUAUGACUCUUAACAUGUUGGGGGAAAGUCUACCCAGACAGAUUUCCAGGUGAGUCAAGUUUAACACUUGAUUUAUUUAUUUAUUUAUUUAUUUAUGACUAUUCUGACAAGAUUUCUAGGUAUUCAAUACCUACAGCUAGGAAGUGCUUUCAAAAGAGCUCAGCAACCAACAUGUCAACCUCUUUAAAAAAAUCCAGCCAGCAAUUGUGGUACCUAGAUACAAGUUGAAUUCAUUUGAAAAUCUGAUGUUAAUUUUGACUACUUCACAAUUUUGCAAGUCUGGCCCUAAUAAAACAGUGCGUUUGCAUUGGGAUAUAUGCCAUAGUUAAUUAUCCAGUAGUUUGAGAGUGGUUUCUAGGGGGCUAUAUAGAAACAUAGGACUGGAAGUGACCUCCCAGGCAUUGAGUCCAAAGGGCCAACAAAAUCCACUCUGACUACUCUCACGUACCUUGGCCUUAAAGUAACCUGUAAAAAACAACCCCUAAAAUAUGCCUCAGACAAAGAAUAAGGGAAACAAGAAUGUGAUCAUGCCUUACCCCUGCAAUGACAGGAUUUUUUUAGGUUAAUGUUCUCUGAUGAUCCUAGGAAAAGGACCAAACCCCAUGCUACACAAAGGGGAAAAAAAUCCAUGGUCUUCACCAAUCUAAACAGAGGCAACAGUUACCACCUGACCCUAAAUGUGGUGAUUAGAUUGGCCAUGAGCAAGACCAUUCAACCAGGUUUCUAAGUACUAGUAGGAGUACUGGUGCACUCAGAGCUGGCCUUAGGGGUGAGUGGUGUGGGCAACUUUCCAAGAAGCCCUUGUCAGGGGGGCGCCGUGUCACAAACACACACACACACGCCCUGCCCUGCCACUCAUGCCAGGUGGGAGCUGUCAGGAGACUUCGGGAGCAACUAAUCCCAGGGGCUGGGGAGCAGGGCCUGCCCCCUUCCAGCCAUAACUUCAAUCAGCUCUGGGUAUCUGGCUGGGGCAGUGGGAUAAAAUGCCCCUGGGUGGUGGCAGUGGCAGGCACUGCCAGGCAGCAUGACAGGCUGGGAGGAGGGAGCUCAGGGCUGGGUCAAGGGCAAGACAGCAAUGCCCAGUGAGAAGGUGAUGCAGCUGGGUGGGCCCAGCUUGAAUGCCAAGAGCUUCAGCAUCACCAACCUGCUGGGGCUGGAGGCUGAGCUGCUGCUGCCCCUGGCCACCACGACUACUGCCAAGGACAAGGGCACAGGUGGCCAAGCGACAGCACCCUGCCACUGGGGCUGGGCUUCCUGUGUGGGCAGCCCUGCCUGCUGCCUGCCUGGCUGUCCUUCCUGCUGCCCCACACUGAGCCCCCACUGCCCCCUAGCCCCACCAGCCAGGACUAGACCAGCAUCUUGGGUAAGCAGACUCACACUGCCCCAAGAUAGCUCAUGAGGUCCACUGCCACCCACAGCUGCUGGGGCACACAUGCCCCUGAUACACACACACUCCCUACCCUCCCCACACUCCCACAGCCUUCCCAUAUACCCCAUGCACACAGUGCCAGUGACUUGUGGGGACUGCCAGGGGGUGGGGGAAGCUGCCAUGAGGAGGAUCCAAAAUGCAAGUUUGCCUAGGGUACCAUUUUCCCUCUGAGUACACUCCAGCCAAUUUUUCAUCUCUAGCUGCAGACAAUGCCCACAGAUUCAAAAGGAAGGCAACCCUCCCUCCUUUACCCUGCAAAAGUCAAAUAAUGCAUUCUUGGAGGGAAAAAAAAUCUUC